AGUGAACGCUGGCGGUAGGCCUAACACAUGCAAGUCGAACGGCAGCACAGGAGAGCUUGCUCUCUGGGUGGCGAGUGGCGGACGGGUGAGGAAUACAUCGGAAUCUACUCUGUCGUGGGGGAUAACGUAGGGAAACUUACGCUAAUACCGCAUACGACCUACGGGUGAAAGCAGGGGAUCUUCGGACCUUGCGCGAUUGAAUGAGCCGAUGUCGGAUUAGCUAGUUGGCGGGGUAAAGGCCCAACAAGGCGACGAUCCGUAGCUGGUCUGAGAGGAUGAUCAGCCACACUGGAACUGAGACACGGUCCAGACUCCUACGGGAGGCAGCAGUGGGGAAUAUUGGACAAUGGGCGCAAGCCUGAUCCAGCCAUACCGCGUGGGUGAAGAAGGCCUUCGGGUUGUAAAGCCCUUUUGUUGGGAAAGAAAUCCAGCUGGCUAAUACCCGGUUGGGAUGACGGUACCCAAAGAAUAAGCACCGGCUAACUUCGUGCCAGCAGCCGCAGUAA
rnacentral:rRNA from 1 species